GGAAAUGCAAGUUCCUCUUGCGACAGGAUUCUAAUCAUACAAGGCAUAUGACAUACUAAUGAUACAUGACAUGAAUAAGUUGGGAGGACACCUGCAGCCCCCCUGCGAGCUCGACCGAUGGAAUUGAGGUUCGAGGUUGUGGUACAAACUCGAUUGAUCGACAUAAUUAGAUUCGACACAACUAACAAUUUGUUCUGAACACCAACCUUGUAUUUGAAGGUAGUUCCUAAGAGAAGUAAUGGCUGAAAGAGAAGAACAUGUUUAUAGAAGGCGAGGUGCAAAUGACAACAGGUAAAAUAAAAUUUUUUUAUUAGUGGCUCUUCAGUUUAUAGAAAAGUUUUGAUGAUGAGUAAAUUUACACUUUUGGAAAUGUACUACUGUUCGACUUUUCGUACCCGCCUCGUUAGAUCGAGCAUCCGGGACGGGUCGUGACAAUUAAUACUUAAGUCUUUGGGUUAGCUUUUUUAAAGAGUUUGUU